AUACGUAGGGGGCAAGCGUUAUCCGGAUUUACUGGGUGUAAAGGGAGCGUAGACGGAAGGCCAAGUCUGAUGUGAAAGCCCGCGGCUCAACUGCGGGACUGCAUUGGAAACUGGUCAUCUGGAGUGCAGGAGGGGAAAGCGGAAUUCCUAGUGUAGCGGUGAAAUGCGUAUGUAUUAGGAGGAACACCGUUGGCGAAGGCGGCUUCCUGGACUGAAACAGAAGUUGAGGCUAGAAAGCGUGGGGUGCAAAAAGAAUUAAAUCCCCUGGUAGUCCACGCCGUAAACGAUGAAUACUAGGUGUAGGGGGUAUCGACUCCCUCUGUGCCGCAGUUAACACAAUAAGUAUUCCGCCUGGGGAGUUCUGCCGCAAGGUUGAAACUCAAAGGAAUUGACGGGG
rnacentral:rRNA from 1 species